CGGCGUGCCUAACACAUGCAAGUCGAACGGAGUUGAGGAGCUUGCUCCUUAACUUAGUGGCGGACGGGUGAGUAACGCGUGAGUAACCUGCCUCUGAGAGGGAAUAACGUUCUAGAAAAGAACGCUAAUACCGCAUGACACAUUAUUUGCCGCAUGACAGAUAUGUACAAAGUAUUUUAUCGCUCAGAGAUGGACUCGCGUCCGAUUAGUUAGUUGGUGAGGUAACGGCUCACCAAGACCGCGAUCGGUAGCCGGACUGAGAGGUUGAACGGCCACAGUUGGACUGAGACACCGGCCCAGACUCCGUACGGGAGGCAGCAGGUGGGGAUAUUGCGACAAUGGGGGCAACCCUGAACCGCAGCAACGCCGCGUGAAGGAUGAAGGUUUUCGGAUCGUAAACUUCUUUUCUCAGGGACGGAAUUUGACGGUACCUGAGGAAUAAGCUCCGGCUAACUACGUGCCAGCAGCUGC
rnacentral:rRNA from 1 species